UAGAGCGAAUCACAAAAACCCGGUCUCAGUUCAGAUUGCAGGCCGCAACUCGCCUGCAUGAAGUUGGAAUUGCUAGUAAUCGCGAAUCAGAAUGUCGCGGUGAAUACGUUCCCGGGCCUUGUACACACCGCCCGUCACACCAUGAGAGUCGAUAACACCCGAAGCCUGUGAGCUAACCGCAAGAAGGCAGCAGUCGAAGGUGGGGUUGAUGAUUGGGGUGAAGUCGUAACAAGGUAUC
rnacentral:rRNA from 1 species